GUCUCCUUCAGUCCUGUCCUGUUUGACCAGAGAUGAUCCUCCAGAACCAGAAGCCUCUGCAUCUGCAGACUGACACAUGAAGAGAGGAGAUCCACUUCCCUCAUCAACAGUGAUUGGUUGGUCAUCUCUCCAUGUAUUGUGUCCCGCUGGCUUCACAAAGCUCAUGUGGCCUCCAGUGAGAUGACCUUCACCUGAGAGAGUGAUUGGGGGAAAAGAGGUGGUUAAAGUUAGGUACUGUAAAUGCUCAACGCUAUAUUGUACACUAUUGACACUGGCCAUGUUCGAAUAUCCCUACUUUGAUGCUGAAAGCUAUCCUUUUCCAUAUUUUUAAGAGUUGAAAGCUGCCCCCACCAGACUCAGCACCAAGGGAGAGGGAGGCCAUAGCCGCAUUCAGUGGUAUGCGGUGAUGGAUGAGACGCUGCAGGAGUUGCCACUCCAUCAACCUACCAGUCAUCAUCUCCUCAUCCUCCUAAGGUGCAUCUGUGGACAGGCUCCUCUCCCUCCCAGAAGGGUCCAGAUGUAGGGGCGGGAGAAGGAGAUAAUCCAUCCACGUCUAACCGGCCUCACAACCACAGACCAUGCAUAACCACGCCAGCCCAGGAUCUCCACAUCAGGCUUCUUCAUCUGCGAGAUUGUCUGAGACCAGCCACCCGGACUGAGACCAGCAAACGAAGAAUUUCUGCACAAACUGUCAGAAAAGUGGCCUUUUAUAAAAACGGAUUUCUGGCAAUUUUACAUAAUUUUACAUGACUGGAGACUUUGGCAGAAUAUGUUUUAAUACCGCUCAAAUGAUCUUAAAUGACAGGCUACUUUGAUACGGACUAACUCAGAAUCUGAAAUCAAUAAAAAGACAAUAUCUUGAAUCCA